GACGAACGCUGGCGGCGUGCUUAACACAUGCAAGUCGAACGGUUAAGCGCCUUCCUUUUUGGUGGGUGUGGAUGAGUGGCGAACGGGUGAGUAACACGUUAGUAACCUGCCCCCUUCUUCUGGAUAACCGCAUGAAAGUGUGGCUAAUACGGGAUAUUCUGUGUCUGUCGCAUGAUGGGUCUGGGAAAGAUAUUGUUUCGGUGGGGGAUGGGCUCGCGGCCUAUCAGCUUGUUGGUGGGGUGAUGGCCUACCAAGGCGGUGACGGGUAGCCGGCCUGGGAGGAUGAGCGGUAAUAGAGGGGCGGAGCGGCGGAGAAUACUACUGGGGGAGGCAGCAGUGAAGAAUGUUGCACAGUGGGAGGAAGCAUGAAGCAGCACCGCGGCGGGAGAGAUGGAGGCCUGGGGGUAGUGAACCUCUGUCGGGAGAGAAGCAGAGCAGCCUAGUUUGUGGGUGGGUUGACGGUAGCUAGAUAAGAAGCGCCGGCUAACUACGUG
rnacentral:rRNA from 1 species